GUGAGGCAAAGCUCACUUCCUGAUGGAGGAUGGGGCUGUGUGGCCUGAUUCUCUGUGGAGCUCCUGAGUCGAUGCCUCCCACCCAAAAAAUCACAGGUUAAAAGACUGACUCGAAGUGUGGCACAGAAGCUUUCUCUCACUGAAGAACAGUCUCUGACUAGCUGCCCCACUCCAAUACUUCCAGUAACCCAGGUCUCUAAAGUAAGCUUUUCUGAAGGGUACAUUCAACGCCGCUUGUAUUUACCAAUACAGGGAUUUCUACCUUCCAGCAGAUACUUUGAAUUUUGACAUUCAUUAGAGAACAGUGAGAUUUAUCACCCAUGAUUGUAUUCUGCCCCAUGAAACUGAUCAAACUCAUGAUUUCUGUUCAAAAUGACACAAACAAUUUC
rnacentral:lncRNA from 1 species